UGUUAGUUAAGGUAUAAAAACUAGGUGAGACAUGUGAAGGAGGCAUUCUGUCGUCACACCUCGACGCAGUUUCUAGUUAGGUUAGAUUAGAUUAGCUUUAGGACAUCAUAAUGUAAGAGUCUGUAUCUAACAUUGAUGCAGACGUUAGGUUAGGUUAAAAUGUAAGAAUCUUAAGAAAAUAAAU